rnacentral:rRNA from 1 species
UACAGAGGUGGCAAGCGUUGUUCGGAAUUAUUGGGCGUAAAGCGCACGUAGGCGGCAUUGCAAGUCGGAUGUGAAAUCCCUCGGCUUAACCAAGGAAGUGCAUCCGAAACUGCAGUGCUUGAGUACUUAAGAGGAUCGCGGAAUUCCCGGUGUAGAGGUGAAAUUCGUAGAUAUCGGGAGGAACACCAGUGGCGAAGGCGGCGAUCUGGGAAGAUACUGACGCUGAGGUGCGAAAGCGUGGGGAGCAAACAGG